AGUGCGGCCUGGACACUGGGGGGAUGGAUCUGCAGCCCUCCCCCCCGACAGGGGAAGGCCCCUUCCCGGGUGUCCCAGGCCAGAGGCCGUCGCGUCCCUCCCACGGCCGAGGCUCCACACCUCCCGGACCGACUCCGGGCCAGGGUCCGCCUGCUCCGGUUCUGGCCCCCGCGGGGGUGACGUUCGGGACGUCGGGGGCUCGCGCAGAUCCGCGCUGGAUCUCAGGCGGCCCUGAUGGAGACAACAGGAAGGAAAGAGACCUUCCUGGUCACACUUGGGCCACAGGAGAACAGGCAGCGGCCCAGGAGGAUCCAGGGUCCUGAUGGUGGUUGAGAAGCUGGUUCUUAGUGAUCACUCAGAAACGUCGGCCUGGCCUUGUGGGGUCAGACCUUGCAUCUCAGUCAGCCCAGGGAGAAGAAGAAGAUGGUCCACACCCAAGUGCAGGGAACAUCGUGGCAGUCGGCUGGGUGCCUGCGUCCAGGCGAGGACACCUCCCGCAUCAGGGAAACACACGUUUCUGGAGUGAGGAGGCUGAAGGCAGGGCCCAGAGGAGAGCUGAGCCAUGGAAGG
ensembl:lncRNA KRTAP5-AS1 KRTAP5-1/KRTAP5-2 antisense RNA 1